CACAAGACAGAACCAUUCAAAAUGUCCCUUCCCUCAAUGUCUAAGCACGGUGGAGCCCUUUUUGCCUGGCUCUGUGGAGGGAGGAUGACUGCGUGACCACAGAUGCAGUGUGGACCAGCGCCCAGCAUUCAAGGGUCCCUGCCUCAGAGGUUUCACGGGAGCACAGCUCCUCCCUGUGGCCAAAGCAGCACUUGGCCACUCACCAACCCAGUGUCAGGAUCCAGACCGGUUCCACAUCCCACAACCCUGAGCAGCAGAGAUGGGUUUCAAAGGCCAGGGGAGAAUGAAGAGGAAGGACGUGUUGGCGACAAUACAGAGAGUCAGCAGCCAGAACACCAGGUCCUAAGUUUUGUAUGCAGAGGGUGGGACUCCAGAAGGUCCAGCAGAGAACAAAUUCUGGAAGGCUGAAGACAUGGGCAGGGAUGUCAGAAGAUACUCAGGGCCGGAAGGCAUUGGCAUUCAGACCAGUCAUCCAGCUGUCGCCUUCUCUUGAGAAGAGUUCAAGAUGACAUUCAUCAGAAUUGGAGAGACACUUGCUUGUCACACUUCUUGAAGAGAAGGAGUCUACAAGGCACAAGGCUGCCUCCACCAGCUUCUCCUCAACACUUUCCAGUUUACCUAUUGCAAUGGAAUUUCAUGCCUCUCCCAA